GUCUCCAUAGCUCAAGUGGAUGAAGCACGUCCCUUCUGAGGACGGGGUUCCAAGUUUGCUUCCUGGUGGAGUCA
rnacentral:tRNA from 1 species